AGUUAAAUGUAAGACUAAGUUGACAAUCUGGGCUUUGUUCACAAGAAUGCAUGCAUCGUCUUGAUCGGACCUUCUGCUCCCUUUGAAGUUGGCUGUCCCUGCAUCCUUGGAUGGUUUGGAAAUCCAGGUGCUCCCAGGAUAAGAAACACAAAGAAGUCAGAAGAACAGGCAUCAUGAGAACUGCUGCUACCACAGGCACAAAGUGCAGGGCUCCAGGAGGCCAGAUCAUGGCAAAUGCAGGCCCAAGCAUGGCAAACAUGGCACCAAUACGUUUUACCCUUUACCCUUCUCUGUACUGCUAAACCAUUAGAUGACAUUCCUAAAGCUAGCCCCCAGAUCUAUUCCCUUAUUUGGUCACUGACUCAUUCCUGAGACUGAUUAGCAAGUCCAACUAUCAAAAUACCAAGGUCCAGCAAUCAAAAUUCAUCAUCUGACUAACCUAACCAAAAUAUCCAAUCAGAACUUACCAGCACAUCCCGGUUCAUUCUAACACAGACCUCCCCUUUUCCCCUAUUAAAACCAUUUGCUGCUGAUUCUGCCCGAUUCAGAUGCAGUCAUUUUGUCUUUUUGCCUUG